rnacentral:rRNA from 1 species
CAGCCGCCCGGGAAUACGAAGGGGGCUAGCGUUGUUCGGAUUUACUGGGCAUAAAGCGCACGUAGGCGGAUCGAUCAGUCAGGGGUGAAACCCCAGAGCUCAACUCUGGAACUGCCUUUGAUACUGUCGAUCUGGAGUAUGGAAGAGGUGAGUGGAAUUCCGAGUGUAGAGGUGAAAUUCGUAGAUAUUCGGAGGAACACCAGUGGCGAAGGCGGCUCACUGGUCCAUUACUGACGCUGAGGUGCGAAAGCGUGGGGAGCAAACAGGAUUAGAUACCCGUGUAGUCCCUGUCCUCUUAUAC